rnacentral:rRNA from 1 species
AUUGAUCGCUGGCGGAAUGCUUUACACAUGCAAGUCGAACGGCAGCACGGGGGCAGCCCUGGUGGCGAGUGGCGAACGGGUGAGUAAUACAUCGGAACGUGCCCGGUCGUGGGGGAUAACGUAGCGAAAGUUACGCUAAUACCGCAUACGAUCUGAGGAUGAAAGCGGGGGACCUUCGGGCCUCGCGCGAUCGGAGGGACCGAUGUCAGAUUAGGUAGUUGGUGGGGUAAAGGCCUACCAAGCCGACGAUCGGUAGCUGGUCUGAGAGGACGACCAGCCACACUGGGACUGAGACACGGCCCAGACUCCUACGGGAGGCAGCAGUGGGGAAUUUUGGACAAUGGGCGCAAGCCUGAUCCAGCCAUUCCGCGUGCAGGACGAAGGCCUUCGGGUUGUAAACUGCUUUUGUGCGGAACGAAAAGGCUCUGGCUAAUACCUGGGGCUCAUGACGGUACCGGAAGAAUAAGCACCGGCUAACUACGUG